CAGUAGCCACGGGAAUACGAAGGGUGCAAGCGUUACUCGGAAUUACUGGGCGUAAAGCGUGCGUAGGUGGUGGUUUAAGUCCGUUGUGAAAGCCCUGGGCUCAACCUGGGAAUUGCAGUGGAUACUGGGUCACUAGAGUGUGGUAGAGGAUAGUGGAAUUUCCGGUGUAGCAGUGAAAUGCGUAGAGAUCGGAAGGAACAUCUGUGGUGAAGGCGACUAUCUGGGCCAACACUGACACUGAGGCACGAAAGCGUGGGGAGCAAACAGGAUUAGAUACCCCUGUAGUCCCUGUCUCUUAUAC
rnacentral:rRNA from 1 species